CUCAAACUAAGUGAAGGAAAGUAAUCAAACAUUUGCAUGCUCAGGGCGUUAAGAGGACCUCUUCUCGAGGACCUUGCCAAUCACAUCUCGUGAGGCUUGGUACUAGUUCUCGGGGAUUUCAUCUUGAUAACCCCCUUAACCCGAGGACUCUAUGACCAACGUGAUGAGCAGUCACGUUGAGUCUCCGUGAAGAAUACCUCAAGGAUAUGCAAAAAGUGACCACAUCACCGGUAAAGAAAGAUUGAUAAAUUGGUGGUCUCUUCCCGGACGAUGCAAUUGGAGGUCUCGCCACAAGAAGGAACUCAUCUCUCUGAUUUGAAUUAAAAAAAUACAGCUCUCGUCCUCAACGAAGCAAUUGUAAAUCAACAAAAAUCCAUAGCCCAAACUUGGAAUAAAAGCCACCAACAACCCACAAUUGAGGGGAUCGAGCAAUGUAGGAAAAUCGGACCAAUAUAUUGUAGAUUUUUUCUUCGAGGAAGUGGACUGUGCACAAAUGGGUCACCUUAAUUUGUGGUCUAGUCACCUGCUAUCAAUGGAAGGUUCCAUGGGAUGAAAUGUUGGCGAAGUGUGUGUGGGAAGAAUUUGGAAUUUCAGCCGUGUGGCAGCCGUGAAUGCUGGUCAUGAAGUGUUGUGG
rnacentral:lncRNA from 1 species